CGGAAGGUCAUGAGGGCCUGACCCUCGUACGCGGAAGGCCAUGAGGGCGGGACCCUGGUACGCGGAAGGCCAUGAGGGCGGGAACCCUCGUACGCGGAAGUUCAUGAGGGCGGGACCCUCGUACGCGGAAGGUCAUGAGGGCGGGACCCUCGUACGCGGAAGUUCAUGCGGGCGGGACCCUCGUACGUGGAAGGUCAUGAGGGCGGGACCCUCGUACGUGGAAGGUCAUGAGGGCGGAACCCUGGUACAUGAAAUUCGUUCUCUUAUUUAAGAGACAAAGAACGCCCUUGUUUUUUCCACCACGUGAUGGCGCAGACAGAAGACAACCAGCAUCUAUGAACCAGGAAGCCCCCACCAGGCACUGAAUCUGCCCCUGCGUGGAUCUUAGACUUGCAGACUCCAGAACUGUCCAAAUUUUGGUCUGGAGCCAGAGACAAUAUAGGAUGAAGUUUGAUUUGUUCCAAAACCCACAGAAAUCUCUAAAAUGGAAGAAUUUUCUUAGAACCAAAAGGCAUGGAAUUGAUGACAUGAAACUGCUAGAAGAGAUACUGUCUGAGACGACAGAGAUGCACAAUGGAAGGAAUCGUGAUCUCUAAGCCACUGCUUGAAAGAGAUUGGUCAGGGCAUCUGUUCAACUUGCCUGGGUUCUACAUGAGAAGCACGUCUUGCUUUUGUUCAGCACAUUCAGCGAGUGAUUGCCAUUACCCUGACGCAUGCUGAAGUUGACAAGUCUUGGACCAAGGUGCCACCUGCACUUGCAUAUUCAUACUGCCCAAUAACACUCACUGGGUUGCGGGAAAUAAGGCAGAGAUUAAAGUCUAGGAGGUUGCAGAGUUCGCCCUGCAUGGACUGAAACAUUGGAGCUACAUCAGGCUGAGGAUGCUCUGGGUUGGCUUUCCAUGCUUGUUUGUUUGUUCAUGGUUCAGUUUGUGUAAUUCAGCCACCACUGGCCCAAAAAUCCAAAGAAAAAUUCCCUUUUCCCACAUGUUACUGACCUGGUUAGAAAAGCCAUAUUAGGGGUAAUUUUGAAGAGCCACUGUUUUGAAAUACGGUUUCUCUUCCAGCCUGAGCUUCUCAGCUGACCUGUGAUGGAGUGUUGUGCCCAAGUGGAAAGUUCUUCUUUCUUUCAGAGACAUAUCAUUCACCAUAAAAUACAACCAGAGACUUCAAAAUUACUCCAGGCUAGAAGGACACUCCAAUUAGGGGAAAAGUAACCUAUGGGCAAACCAUCUUCCGUAAGAGUUCAAGGACAAAAAACUACUGAUGUUGUAAUAACAUUGAAACUUAAUGUUUUGGGCAAUCCUUAAGUGAUUUAUUUGGAGUGUCCCAGUCAUUUUAGACCUCUUCACCUUACAAUGUAUUGUGUGAGAUUAUAUUUCCAUGCACCUAAUUUUAAAAUAAAUUUAUUUAGGUAGAUGUAGAGACAUAUUACUGUGAUAAAGCAGUUCAUACCAAAUAAAAUUUAGCUAAUAAUCCUGGCUGUGUUUUCAAUCUUAGAUUAACUUACAUUACAAAAUCUCUUUCCUAUAGCAAUGUUUUCAGUAUUCAUGUUGUUGAUGAUGAUAUGUUUAGUAUAAAUUACAUCUUCCACUACAUUAUUUUAUGGAAGUAUAAAAAGUAAACCAGGCCGGGCGCGGUGGCUCACGCCUGUAAUCC
rnacentral:lncRNA from 10 species